UACGGAGGGUGCGAGCGUUGUCCGGAAUCACUGGGCGUAAAGGGCGCGUAGGCGGCCUGAUAAGUAGGGGGUGAAAUCCUGCGGCUUAACCGCAGGGCUGCCUUCUAAACUGUCAGGCUCGAGCACAGUAGAGGCAGGUGGAAUUCCCGGUGUAGCGGUGGAAUGCGUAGAGAUCGGAAAGAACAUCAGUGGCGAAGGCGGCCUGCUGGGCUGUUGCUGACGCUGAGGCGCGACAGCGUGGGGAGCAAACAGG
rnacentral:rRNA from 1 species